CCUACGGGUGGCAGCAGUGAGGAAUAUUGGUCAAUGGACGAGAGUCUGAACCAGCCAAGUAGCGUGUAGGAUGACUGCCCUAUGGGUUGUAAACUUCUUUUAUAUGGGAAUAAAAUGUUCCACGUGUGGGAUUUUGUAUGUACCAUAUGAAUAAGGAUCGGCUAACUCCGUGCCAGCAGCCGUGGUAAUACGGAGGAUCCGAGCGUUAUCCGGAUUUAUUGGGUUUAAAGGGAGCGUAGGUGGAUUGUUAAGUCAGUUGUGAAAGUUUGCGGCUCAACCGUAAAAUUGCAGUUGAAACUGGCAGUCUUGAGUACAGUAGAGGUGGGCGGAAUUCGUGGUGUAGCGGUGAAAUGCUUAGAUAUCACGAAGAACGCCGAUUGCGAAGGCAGUUCACUGGACUGCAACUGACACUGAGGCUCGAAAGUGUGGGUAUCAAACAGGAUUAGAUACCCGUGUAGUC
rnacentral:rRNA from 1 species